rnacentral:rRNA from 1 species
UAAACUAGGAUUAGAUACCCUAUUAUUUUGAGCUUAAAUUUUUAUCUAGGUAUUAGUAAGUAUUUAUUUAAACCUAAAGAAUUUGGCGGUAUAUUAUUCUGAUUAGAGGAACCUGCUAUUUAAUCGAUAAUCCUCGUUUUAUCUUGCUAUGAUUUGUUAUUCAGUAUGUAUAUCGUCGUUAUAAGUUUAUUUUUUAAGAAUUUAUUUACUAUUUAAUUUAUUUGUUAUUAUUUCAGAUCAAGGUGCAGUUAAUAUUGUAGUUUAAGUGGGUUACAAUAUUUAUUUAUAUAUGGAUAUGUUAUUUAUAUAAUCAUUGAAAGUGGAUUUAAUAGUAAUUUUUGUAAUAGAGUUUUUUUGAAUAUAGCUCUGGUAUGAGUACACAUCG